GAUGAACGCUGGCGGCGUGCUUAACACAUGCAAGUCGAACGGAAAGGCCCAAGCUUGCUUGGGUACUCGAGUGGCGAACGGGUGAGUAACACGUGGGUGAUCUGCCCUGCACUUCGGGAUAAGCCUGGGAAACUGGGUCUAAUACCGGAUAGGACCACUUCUUGGAUGUUGUGGUGGAAAGUUUUUUCGGGGUGGGAUGAGCUCGCGGCCUAUCAGCUUGUUGGUGGGGUAAUGGGCUAUCAAGGCGUCGACGGGUAGCCGGGCUGAGAGGGGGUACGGCCACAUUGGGAAUGGGGUAAGGCCCCGACUCCUAAGGGAGGCAGCAGUGGGGAAUAUUGCACAAUGGGCGCAAGCCUGAUGCAGCGACGCCGCGGGGGGGAUGACGGGCUUCGGGUUGGAAACUCCUUUCGCUAGGGACGAAGCGUUUUGUGACGGUACCUGGAGAAGAAGCACCGGCUAACUACGUG
rnacentral:rRNA from 1 species